AGUGAACGCUGGCGGUAGGCCUAACACAUGCAAGUCGAACGGCAGCACAGUAAGAGCUUGCUCUUACGGGUGGCGAGUGGCGGACGGGUGAGGAAUACAUCGGAAUCUACUUUUUCGUGGGGGAUAACGUAGGGAAACUUACGCUAAUACCGCAUACGACCUACGGGUGAAAGCAGGGGAUCUUCGGACCUUGCGCGAUUGAAUGAGCCGAUGUCGGAUUAGCUAGUUGGCGGGGUAAAGGCCCACCAAGGCGACGAUCCGCAGCUGGUCUGAGAGGAUGAUCAGCCACACUGGAACUGAGACACGGUCCAGACUCCUACGGGAGUCAGCAGUGGGGAAUAUUGGACAAUGGGCGCAAGCCUGAUCCAGCCAUACCGCGUGGGUGAAGAAGGCCUUCGGGUUGUAAAGCCCUUUUGUUGGGAAAGAAAAGCAGCAGGUUAAUACCCCGCUGUUCUGACGGUACCCAAAGAAUAAGCACCGGCUAACUUCGUG
rnacentral:rRNA from 1 species